UCCCUGGAGGACUAGUGGUUAGGCCAUGGUGCUCUCAUUGCUGCGGCCCAGGCUCGAUUCCCGGCCAGGGAA
rnacentral:tRNA from 1 species